rnacentral:rRNA from 1 species
AGAGUUUGAUCAUGGCUCAGGAUGAAUGCUGGCGGCGUGCCUAACACAUGCAAGUCGAGCGGCAGCGAGGGGUGCUUGCACCCUGUCGGCGAGCGGCGAACGGCUGAGUAACGCGUAGGAAUUUGCCCCAAAGUGAGGGAUAACUGCCCGAAAGGGUAGCUAAUACCGCAUAUGGUCUUUGGAUUAAAGGAUUUAUCCGCUUUGGGAGAAGCCUGCGUUGGAUUAGGUAGUUGGUAGGGUAAUGGCCUACCAAGCCGACGAUCCAUAGCUGGUCUGAGAGGAUGAUCAGCCAGACUGGAACUGAGACACGGUCCAGACUCCUACGGGAGGCAGCAGUGAGGAAUCUUCCACAAUGGGCGAAAGCCUGAUGGAGCAACGCCGCGUGAAGGACGAAGGCCUUCGGGUUGUAAACUUCUUUUAUGAGUGAAGAAUAUGACGGUAACUCAUGAAUAAGCACCGGCUAACUACGUGCCAGCAGCCGCGGUCAUACGUAGGGUGCAAGCAUUAUCCGGAGUGACUGGGCGUAAAGAGUUGCGUAGGCGGUUUAAUAAGUGAAUAGUGAAACCUGGUGGCUCAACCAUACAGACUAUUAUUCAAACUGUUAAACUCGAGAAUGGUAGAGGUAACUGGAAUUUCUUGUGUAGGAGUGAAAUCCGUAGAUAUAAGAAGGAACACCGAUGGCGUAGGCAGGUUACUGGGCCAUUUCUGACGCUAAGGCACGAAAGCGUGGGGAGCGAACCGGAUUAGAUACCCGGGUAGUCCACGCCGUAAACGAUGGAUACUAGCUGUUGGAGGUAUCGACCCCUCCAGUAGCGAAGCUAACGCGUUAAGUAUCCCGCCUGUGGAGUACGGCCGCAAGGCUAAAACAUAAAGGAAUCUGUCGGGGACCCCGCACAAGCGGUGGUUUAUGUUGUUUAAUACGAUGAUAACCGAAGAUCCUCUACCAGGAGCUUGACAUCCAGGGAAGGUCUAUGAAAGUAGACUGAGCCUUAUGGAACCCUCCGACAGGUGAUGCAUGGCUGUCGUCAGGUCGUGUCGUGAGAUGUGAGGCUAAGUCCUUCCUCGAGGGCAACCCUUGCAAGUAGUGGUAGUUUUUCUACUUCAACAUCCCCGGUAUCGGGGAGGAAGGAGGGGAUGAUGUCACGUCAGUACUUUCCCGUAUCGUCUCGGGCUAGAAACGUAAUACAUUGGCUCAUACAAUGCGCAGCGAAGCCGCGAGGAGAAGCAAAUCGCAUCAAAGCUAGUCCCACUUCGGCUUGGAGGCGAAAACUCGCCUCCAUGAAGUUGGAAUCCCUAGUAAUAACGAAUCAGCAAGUUGCGGUGAAU